rnacentral:sRNA from 1 species
GUGGAGGGCUGGAGGUGGCGGCGGCGGCGGCGGCGGCUGCUGCUGCUGCCCGCGUCCGAGGCUCGCGGGCGGCGGGCCCGGAAAUGCACUCGGUGAUGGAAAGAGAGCCACUAUUCUGAAGAACACUUGGCCAAAGCCAGGAGCUGCACUUAGACAUAACAAUGAAAAGCUGAGUGAAGGGGAGACGGCUGGAUGGAAGAUCUAGCCUGAGCACAUCCCCCAUCUGUCUGCACUCUUCGGAGGGUCAUUAUCGUUAUUGUGAUGCUCUUUCUAUGCUGGGGGAAUAUGACUGGGCCCUGCAAGCAAACAUAAAAGCUCAAAAACUCUGUAAAAAUGACCCUGAGGGAAUCAAGGAUCUAAUUCAGCAGCAUGUAAAGUUACAAAAACAAAUAGAAGACCUACAAGGUCGAACAGCAAAUAAGGAUCCAAUUAAAGCCUUUUAUGAAAACAGGGCCUACACACCUAGGAGUUUAUCAGCACCUAUAUUUACUACUUCACUUAACUUUGUGGAGAAGGAAAGAGAUUUCAGAAAAAUUAAUCACGAAAUGGCCAACGGUGGUAAUCAGAAUCUAAAGGCGGCGGAUGAGGCGUUGAAGGUAGAUGAUUGUGACUGUCAUCCUGAAUUUUCACCACCAUCAAGUCAGCCUCCAAAACAUAAAGGAAAACAAAAAUCUCGAAACAAUGAAUCAGAGAAGUUCAGUUCUAGUUCACCAUUGACUUUACCAGCAGAUUUGAAGAACAUCUUGGAGAAACAGUUUUCUAAAUCUUCCAGAGCUGAACACCAGGAUUUUGCUAAUAUAAUGAAAAUGCUGAGAAGCUUGAUUCAAGAUGGCUAUAUGGCCUUAUUGGAGCAGCGUU